UACGUAGGGUGCAAGCGUUGUCCGGAAUUAUUGGGCGUAAAGAGCUCGUAGGCGGUCUGUUGCGUCGGCUGUGAAAACCCGGGGCUCAACCCCGGGCCUGCAGCCGAUACGGGCAGACUAGAGUUCGGCAGGGGAGACUGGAAUUCCUGGUGUAGCGGUGAAAUGCGCAGAUAUCAGGAGGAACACCAGUGGCGAAGGCGGCUACCUGGACCGGUUCUGACGCUGAUGCGCGAAAGCGUGGGUAGCAAACAGG
rnacentral:rRNA from 1 species